ACCCGAAGCUUCAGAAUGCGGGACGGGUACGGUCAUCUUUAGUCUUUCGGAAGGACGAGGGCCACGCGCGCCUCGAGCUCGCGGCGCCGCCCCUCGCGGCCACGCGAGGCCACCACAGAGAGGAGCGUGGCCCAGAGAGGCCGGAAGCGGCCGGCGUCCGCCCCUGGAGUCUACCCCGCUUCCGGCCGGACGACCUGAGGGGCUGUGCGUUCCCUGAGAGCCGGCCGGCGGCCGGGUCUGCCGUCUCUCCGGCUGCCGCUGAGGGUUAGGAACGGAAUUCCGAGGUGAAGGCGGGCCCGGGAGGGGGCGAGGACGCCCCCUGCCGUGUCGUCUCCCCUCUGGCGCCGCCUGUGCGAAGCUGUGGCUCCCGGGGCAGCCGUGGCGCAUGUCCUCACGAGCACCCAGACCCGCGCUCGGUCUGAUCGUUUUCUGGUCGUGACCUGAAGUCUUACCUGCGCAUUUGCUUCAACUGGAAAACUGCAGCGUGCUCGGUUUGCCGUCUUCCUUUCAGUCCGUUGUCGUCAAGCUUCACGUUCUCUCCGCAUUAGAGGUUUUGUGGGACAGUUCACCGGCAUCGUUCGUUUCCUUCGGAACUAGUAUUUCCGUGCUUCACUCAGUGGGUUUCCAGAUGAUGGGUCAGGUUUAGCCCCAGUAAAGUUUUCGGCGGCCGUUCGCAUUUGUGUAUGUUAAUGCCUCGUUUUGCCUUAGGAGCCGCCCUAAAACUACCCCCAAAGCCGGUCUCCCCGAAGCAGAGACUGCCACGUCCUCCAGCCUGUGCAGUGAGCGUUUACUCAGUGACAGCCCGUAGUGGCUGCAGCCUUGGCUGUUAAAUCUCCCGACCGUGAAAGAGCAGGACGACGCUGGGAGCCAAGAAUGUGGGCUGUGCUGGAAGAACUCCCAAUAACCAGGACGCAGCCGCCGCUGCCCGGAACGCGGGCGGUUCCGUUACCAGGAGACGCCUGCACCUGGGAGCUCUGGAUCCCCUGCAGGAACCCUGCCUCGGUGGCUGAUCCCGCGCCGAGGAGCAGAUCCUGACCAUCCUGCCCGCGGAGCUCCAGGCCCGGGUGUUAAAGCAUCAGCCAGAGAGCAGGGAGGAGGCGGCCAUCCCGUGGGGGGUUUGCAGAGAGCUCGAGGAAACAGGACGGCAGGUGUGAUUAAGUAAGUGAAUAUUCCAACAGCCGGCCGUGGAGAGAAGCAUCCGUACAGCCGUGAGAGCAAGGUCGCCCGACGCUCCACUCCAGCAGGCUUCUGUAUUCGUGUUGUAACCAGUACAUGUAUAAUGGCAGUGUGUUAAGAAUUUCCUCACCAGGCCUCACAGAAGCCACCAACUAUCCCAGGCCAGGAAACGUCUAGACUUCCAGGCCUUUCGUGAGUAAGGUUCCACCGGCACUCCAGCGUGGGCAGCGCUGUCAUCCCUGUUAUCAGACUCGUGAGGAUGUUGUACACCAGAAUUCCUGACCUCAUUUAACAGCCUUUCCAGACUGCUCUCAUAACGGAAAAUAUAUCUUUUCUUAAACCGUUUAUGUUUUCAUCGUAUAUGACAUCAUGCCCUAACCUCUACUGAACAUUUAUUACUUGCUCUGUAAAGUAGAAUUCACUCUUUUAUCUUAAAAUGACCUUUUCUGAAUUUCCUA